rnacentral:rRNA from 1 species
AGUCGAGCGGAUGAGGGGAGCUUGCUCCCUGAUUUAGCGGCGGACGGGUGAGUAAUGCCUAGGAAUCUGCCUGGUAGUGGGGGAUAACGUUCCGAAAGGAACGCUAAUACCGCAUACGUCCUACGGGAGAAAGCAGGGGACCUUCGGGCCUUGCGCUAUCAGAUGAGCCUAGGUCGGAUUAGCUAGUUGGUGAGGUAAUGGCUCACCAAGGCGACGAUCCGUAACUGGUCUGAGAGGAUGAUCAGUCACACUGGAACUGAGACACGGUCCAGACUCCUACGGGAGGCAGCAGUGGGGAAUAUUGGACAAUGGGCGAAAGCCUGAUCCAGCCAUGCCGCGUGUGUGAAGAAGGUCUUCGGAUUGUAAAGCACUUUAAGUUGGGAGGAAGGGCAUUAACCUAAUACGUUAGUGUUUUGACGUUACCAACAGAAUAAGCACCGGCUAACUUCGUGCCAGCAGCCGCGGUAAUACGAAGGGUGCAAGCGUUAAUCGGAAUUACUGGGCGUAAAGCGCGCGUAGGUGGUUCGUUAAGUUGGAUGUGAAAGCCCCGGGCUCAACCUGGGAACUGCAUCCAAAACUGGCGAGCUAGAGUACGGUAGAGGGUGGUGGAAUUUCCUGUGUAGCGGUGAAAUGCGUAGAUACAGGAAGGAACACCCAGUGGCGAAGGCGACCACCUGGACUGAUA